UACGUAGGGUGCGAGCGUUGUCCGGAAUUACUGGGCGUAAAGAGCUCGUAGGUGGUUUGUCGCGUCGUCUGUGAAAUCCCGGGGCUUAACUUCGGGCGUGCAGGCGAUACGGGCAAUACUUGAGUGCUGUAGGGGAGACUGGAAUUCCUGGUGUAGCGGUGAAAUGCGCAGAUAUCAGGAGGAACACCAAUGGCGAAGGCAGGUCUCUGGGCAGUUACUGACGCUGAGGAGCGAAAGCAUGGGUAGCGAACAGGAUUAGA
rnacentral:rRNA from 1 species